rnacentral:rRNA from 1 species
UACGUAGGUGACAAGCGUUGUCCGGAUUUACUGGGCGUAAAGAGCGCGCAGGCGGUCGAUCAAGUCGAGUGUGAAAGCCCCCGGCUCCAACUGGGGAGGGUCAUUCGAUACUGAUCGACUCGAAGGCAGGAGAGGGUGAGUGGAAUUCCCGGUGUAGUGGUGAAAUGCGUAGAUAUCGGGAGGAACACCAGUGGCGAAGGCGACUACCUGGCCUGUUCUUGACGCUGAGGCGCGAAAGCUAGGGGAGCAAACGGG